rnacentral:rRNA from 1 species
GACGGAGGGUGCAAGCGUUGUUCGGAAUUACUGGGCGUAAAGGGCGCGUAGGCGGUCUGUUAAGUUCGGUGUGAAAGCCCCCGGCUCACCUGGGGAACUGCGCCGGAAACCGACAGACUCGAGUACCGGAGAGGAGGGUGGAAUUCCUGGUGUAGCGGUGAAAUGCGUAGAUAUCGGGAGGAACACCAGUGGCGAAGGCGGCGACCUGGACGGAUACUGACGCUGAGGUGCGAAAGCGUGGGGAGCAAACAGG